rnacentral:rRNA from 1 species
GAUGAACGCUGGCGGCGUGCCUAAUACAUGCAAGUCGAGCGAACAGACGAGGAGCUUGCUCCUCUGACGUUAGCGGCGGACGGGUGAGUAACACGUGGAUAACCUACCUAUAAGACUGGGAUAACUUCGGGAAACCGGAGCUAAUACCGGAUAAUAUAUUGAACCGCAUGGUUCAAUAGUGAAAGACGGUUUUGCUGUCACUUAUAGAUGGAUCCGCGCCGCAUUAGCUAGUUGGUAAGGUAACGGCUUACCAAGGCGACGAUGCGUAGCCGACCUGAGAGGGUGAUCGCCCACCCUGGAACGGAGACAGGGUCCAGACUCCUACGGGAGGCAGCAGACGGGAAUCUUCCGCAAUGGGCGAAAGCAUGACGGAGCAACGCCGCGUGAGUGAUGAAGGUCUUCGGAUCGUAAAACUCUGUUACUAGGGAAGAACAAAUGUGUAAGUAACCAUGCACGUCUUGACGGUACCUAAUCAGAAAGCCACGGCUAACUACGUG